UCCUUUUUUAUCACCCAAAUUCAUCUCACCUCACUUUCCGUACUCGCCCAAACGGACACGAUUUUGUGCGAUGAACCCUGCCACUGAGCUUACUGCUUCCACACUAAUGGGAGAGGAAGAAAAGUAAUGACCGGUAUAUCCAACAACAGAUCCUCCGCGACAAUGCCUCGUCGGAGCAACUCUACGCCCCUCCCCUUGGUGGUCUCUCUUAACUGCAUAGAGGAUUUCGCCCUCGAGCAGGACUCCCUGGCAGGGAUCGCUGCCGUCGAGCAUGUCCCCCUAAGUCGCCUGGCCGACUGCAAGAUCGACGCUGCGUCUGUCGUGCUCCUUAACUCCCUCUCAUAUCUUCCCCGGGCCGCCCAGCGACGUCUCGGCCCCUUCCAGCUCAUCCUUUGCCUUGGCUCCGCCGACCGUGCCGUCGACUCUGCCCUUGCUGCUGACCUUGGCCUUCGGCUGGUACACGUGGAUACGUCCCGAGCUGAGGAGAUCGCCGACACCGUUAUGGCACUUUUCCUUGGAUUGAUUCGCCGUACAAACCUGCUCUCAGGCCAGACACUUUCAGCUUCUGGAUGGCUCGGAUCGGUACAGCCCCUCUGUCGAGGGAUGAGGCGGUGUAGAGGGUUGGUUUUAGGGAUCGUAGGUAGAUCUGCCUCCGCAAUGUUUCUGGCUACGAGGAGCCUGGCGUUCAGGAUGAGUGUGCUCUACUUCGAUGUUUACGAGGGACAGGGGAAAGUCAGCCGGUCCUCGGUUACAUUUCCUCCUGCUGCUCGAAAGAUGGAUACUCUAAAUGACUUACUGGCUACAAGUGACUUAAUUUCACUACAUUGUGCACUUACAAAUGAGACAGUUCAGAUUAUCAAUGCAGAAUGCUUGCAACAUAUAAAACCUGGAGCAUUUCUUGUGAACACAGGCAGCAGUCAACUUUUGGAUGAUUGUGCUGUGAAGCAGCUUUUAAUUGAUGGAACCUUAGCUGGUUGUGCUCUGGAUGGAGCUGAAGGACCGCAAUGGAUGGAAGCAUGGAUAAGGGAGAUGCCCAAUGUAAUGAUACUUCCUCGAAGUGCAGAUUAUAGCGAAGAAGUGUGGAUGGAGAUUAGAGGGAAGGCCAUUUCUAUUAUGCAUACAUUCUUCUUUGAUGGGGUUAUUCCAAAGAAUACGGUCUCUGAUGAGGAUGAAAAGGAAAGUGAAAUUGGAGAGGAAAAUGAACAGUAUGAUAAGCAAGUCAAAGAAAUUGCUUUUCAGGGUUCUGUCGGCGAGAGAUUGGAUGAUGAUACUCAACUAAGUACAGAAAGCUACCUGAAAAAUUCAACUAAUCAUUCAAUUGAAUCUACUAGCCAAACUCAGGGUUUUUUGUCUCACAAUACUGCCUUGAGAUCCGAAGGGAAACGCAGCAGAUCAGGGAGGAAGGCCAAGAAGAGGCACUCCCGACAAAAAUCCCUUCAAAAAUCAGAUGACCCUUCUUUAUUCGAGAAAGAAAGCACUUCGCACCAAGAAGAUGAUACUGCCAUGAGUGGCACAGAUCAAGUUUUAAGUUCCAGUUCUCGGUUUGCUUCUCCUGAAGAUCCAAGGAGUAGGAAAGCGCCAAUGAGUUUAAUAGAAGAAUCAACCUCAGACCAGCUUAUAAAGUCGAGUAUGAAGUUAAGUGGCAAGUCUAUUGAACUUUUAAAAGAUGGAUAUGUUAUAGCUUUGUAUGCAAGAGAUCGUCCCGCACUCUAUGUCUCCAGGCAAAGAGUUAAAGGUGGUGGCUGGUAUUUAGACACCAUGUCCUUUGUAACCCAAAGAGAUCCUGCAGCGCAGUUCCUUAUUAACUUCAGGAGCAAGGACACCAUUGGCUUGCGUUCUUUUGCUGCUGGUGGGAAGUUGUUGCAGAUUAAUAGAAGAAUGGAAUUUGUAUUCGCUAGUCAUAGCUUUGACGUCUGGGAGAGUUGGACGUUGGAAGGUUCUUUGGAUGAAUGUAGGCUGGUUAAUAGUAGGAAUCCAUCGGCUGUUUUGGAUGUUCGCAUUGAGAUUCUAGCAGCUGCUGGAGACGAUGAUGGUAUUACUCGUUGGCUUGAUUAGUGUAUGCAUAGGGAAAUCUGAUCUUGCCUCCCACACAUUGUCUUUAUUCAUCUGAGCUUUUGGAGUGGGGGAUUCGACCCAGCUGUGCGGGUGAUAUGUGGGUGGUUUGCUUCUGAGGCAAGUCUUGCUACCCUGAAUGAGGGCUUUAAUGAAGACCCCGAUGUAACUCCUGGGAUCGAUAACGUAUUCUUUGCUUGUCUUUGCCUUUACAUUUAAAAUCCAGAGACCAACAUUAGUAGAGUAGGGUAGUGGUGUACUAUGAUAUAAUGCUCUAAAUUCAUGAAUGCUAAAAACGAAUUGAUUAAAUUCCCAGAAGAAUAUCAUUGGCUUCGACAA